rnacentral:misc_RNA from 1 species
UCCGAGUUGUCCCCGGCAGUCCCCUUAGAGUCCCCGGCAUUACCCGCUGGCAACUAAGGGCAGGGGUUGCGCUCGUUGCGGCACUUAAGCCAACACCUCACGGCACGAGCUGACGACAGCCAUGCAGCACCUGUGCUGGCCCCUUACGGACACGGGCUUUCACCCGCUUUAACCAGCAUGUCAAGCCCAGGUAAGGUGGGGAUGACGUAUCUUACAGCGUAC